UGGGGAAUAUUGGACAAUGGGCGCAAGCCUGAUCCAGCCAUACCGCGUGGGUGAAGAAGGCCUUCGGGUUGUAAAGCCCUUUUGUUGGGAAAGAAAUCCAGCUGGCUAAUACCCGGUUGGGAUGACGGUACCCAAAGAAUAAGCACCGGCUAACUUCGUGCCAGCAGCCGCGGUAAUACGAAGGGUGCAAGCGUUACUCGGAAUUACUGGGCGUAAAGCGUGCGUAGGUGGUCGUUUAAGUCCGUUGUGAAAGCCCUGGGCUCAACCUGGGAACUGCAGUGGAUACUGGGCGACUAGAAUGUGGUAGAGGGUAGCGGAAUUCCUGGUGUAGCAGUGAAAUGCGUAGAGAUCAGGAGGAACAUCCAUGGCGAAGGCAGCUACCUGGACCAACAUUGACACU
rnacentral:rRNA from 1 species